GCCUUAGUAACUGCGAGUGAAGCGGCAAAAGCUCAAAUUUGAAAUCUGGCGCUUCGGCGUCCGAUUGUAAUUUGGAGGGAUAUCUUCGGGGCUGGCGCCGUCCUAAGUUCCUUGGAACAGGACGUCACAGAGGGUGAGAAUCCCGUGCCUGGACGGAUGUCCAGCUCCAUGUGAAGUGUCUCCGACGAGUCGAGUUGUUUGGGAAUGCAGCUCAAAAUGGGUGGUAAAUUUCAUCUAAAGCUAAAUAUUGGCGAGAGACCGAUAGCGCACAAGUAGAGUGAUCGAAAGAUGAAAAGCACUUUGAAAAGAGAGUUAAAAAGUACGUGAAAUUGUUGAAAGGGAAGCGCUUGCGACCAGACUCGACCUUUGGCGAUCAGCCGGGCUUCGGCUCGGUGCCAUCGCCAUUGGUUGGGCCAGCAUCGGUUCCGACGGCGGGAUAAAAGGCGAAGGAAUGUGGCCUCUCUGGGGGGUGUUAUAGCUUCGCCACAAUGCCGCCAGUGGGACCGAGGACCGCGCUUCGGCUAGGAUGCUGGCGUAAUGGUCUUAAGCGACCCGUCUUGAAACACGGACCAAGGAGUCUAACAUCUAUGCGAGUGUUCGGGUGGAAAACCCUUGCGCGUAAUGAAAGUGAACGGAGGUGGGAACCCUUCGGGGUGCACCAUCGACCGGUCCUGACGUCUUCUGAAGGAUCUGAGUAAGAGCAUAGCUGUUGGGACCCGAAAGAUGGUGAACUAUGCCUGAAUAGGGUGAAGCCAGAGGAAACUCUGGUGGAGGCUCGCAGCGGUUCUGACGUGCAAAUCGAUCGUCAAAUUUGGGUAUAGGGGCGAAAGACUAAUCGAACCAUCUAGUAGCUGGUUCCUGCCGAAG
rnacentral:rRNA from 1 species